rnacentral:tRNA from 1 species
UCCCAUGUGGCUCAGUUGGUAGAGCAUGGUGCUUACACCACCAGUGUUGUGGGUUUGAUUCCCAUGGGGGAC